rnacentral:lncRNA from 1 species
UUUUUAUUUUCUUUUUAUUUUCUUACUAACCAUAAUGCUACUGAGGUAUUUCCUGUUUGUGUACGCGCAACUUAGGAUCAUCAUUGACACCAUUUGAUCCAGAAAUUAAAAGAACAACACAUGUUAUCAGGAGAGAAGUCAGGGAAGCAAAUAUUGCUCAAGGGAUCUUAGUUGAAGAUCAACCUCUAAUUUUUUCUGACUCUGAAGAGGAA